GGUCUCUGCCUAGCAUGGGGGGAGGCGUUUUUUCUCACAAAAAGCAGCAUUCUGUUACUUGGCACCACAGGAAGUAUUUCCCAGCUAAAGCAGAUUUUAGGGAUUCAAUCCUAGGUGACUCUUCUGGCUGAGGCUUCACGGCCUUCCUGCCUCCUAGGUUAGGGCAGGAUCGGUAUUCUAAAUGUUGGCUGGUAUUCAGCCAGGGCCCCACCUUAGAGCCCAAAAUGCUUAUGUUCAGGCCUGUGGCCUGUGAGCACCACUGCAUGCAGCCCACUCGAUAAUGCCACCUCUGCAUAACCAUGGGUGGACAAGAUAGCCAAACCAUGCCAGUAUGGACAGAAUAGCUUAUGAUGCUUAUCCCCACCCACCACUUCCGAAACAUUGAGCGGAAACCAGAAUACCUCCAGCCAGAGAAGUGUGUCCCACCCCCCUACCCUGGUCCUGUGGGAACCAUGUGGUUUAUCCGUGACGGCUGUGGCAUCGCCUGUGCCAUCGUUACCUGGUUUCUGGUCCUCUAUGCGGAGUUUGUGGUCCUCUUUGUCAUGCUGAUUCCAUCUCGAGACUACGUGUAUAGCAUCAUCAACGGAAUUGUGUUCAACCUGCUGGCCUUCUUGGCCCUGGCCUCCCACUGCCGGGCCAUGCUGACGGACCCCGGGGCAGUGCCCAAAGGAAAUGCCACUAAAGAAUUCAUCGAGAGUUUACAGUUGAAGCCUGGGCAGGUGGUGUACAAGUGCCCCAAAUGCUGCAGCAUCAAGCCCGACCGAGCCCACCACUGCAG
rnacentral:sRNA from 1 species